UCUAAUUAAUUCAUCUGGUUUGAUCCGGUUUGAUUCUACAGUUAGAGACGGUUUAGCCUAGCUAGCUGGUGUAUCUUUAGCUACAGUCCAUGUUUACGUUGUUCGCGACGAUAAUAUAAAUUAUAUACAUACAGUAUUCACCUCAGAUAAGUUGUUUGGCCCGGCGGAAAGUGAAAUAAUAGGAAUAAGAAGUAACUUCUGCCCGAGGCCCAGUGGUUGCUGUCGGUUGUCGGCCAGUUUUCCUGUCGGACCGAGGAGCCCCGAGACGGACCGAGGAGCCCCGAGACGGACCGAGGAGCCCCGAGACGGACCGAGGAGCCCCGAGACGGACCGAGGAGGCCGGCGGCGUAAAAGAUGCCAGUAGGUGUGGUCAGGUCGUCCUUGUGUCUUCCCAGUACUAUAAGAACACAACUCACUUGUUCCAUGAUGGAAAGAGAGAAAGUGGAACCAAUGCUCCAUAUGCUCCCCAUCCUUUGUUUUUCCACUCGCUAUUCUUUCACUCAUGCAUACAUGCUGGCACUACUGACUGCUAAACCUUUUAAUGUCUUGACAUUUUGUUGUUUUAAAUAAAAGAAUGGUUUCUUUAAAGUAA